rnacentral:rRNA from 1 species
CAGGCCUAACACAUGCAAGUCGCACGAGAAAGGGGCUUCGGCCCUGAGUAAAGUGGCGCACGGGUGAGUAACACGUGAAUCAUCUACCUUCGAGUGGGGAAUAACUUCGGGAAACCGAGGCUAAUACCGCAUAAUACCUACGGGUCAAAGCAGCAAUGCGCUUGAAGAGGAGUUCGCGGCAGAUUAGUUAGUUGGUGGGGUAAUGGCCUACCAAGACGAUGAUCUGUAUCCGGCCUGAGAGGGCGCACGGACACACUGGAACUGAAACACGGUCCAGACUCCUACGGGAGGCAGCAGUGGGGAAUUUUGCGCAAUGGGGGAAACCCUGACGCAGCAACGCCGCGUGGAGGAUGAAAUCCCUUGGGAUGUAAACUCCUUUCGACUGGGAAGAUAAUGACGGUACCAGGAGAAGAAGCCCCGGCUAACUUCGUGCCAGCAGCCGCGGUAAUACGAGGGGGGCGAGCGUUGUUCGGAAUUAUUGGGCGUAAAGGGUGCGUAGGCGGUUUGAUAAGUUUGGUGUGAAAUCUAUGGGCUCAACCCAUAGCCUGCACCGAAAACUGUCGGGCUUGAGUAUGGGAGAGGUGAGUGGAAUUUCCGGUGUAGCGGUGAAAUGCGUAGAUAUCGGAAGGAACACCUGUGGCGAAAGCGGCUCACUGGACCAUUACUGACGCUGAUGCACGAAAGCUAGGGGAGCAAACAGGAUUAGAUACCCUGGUAGUCCUAGCCCUAAACGAUGAUUGCUUGAUGUAGCGGGUACCCAAUCCUGCUGUGUCGAAGCUAACGCGAUAAGCAAUCCGCCUGGGGAGUACGGUCGCAAGGC